UAAUACCCCAUAGACUAUGGGUGCUGGAAUGCUCUGUAGUUCAAAGGUCAGCCGCCUUAGGAUGGGUCUGCGGCCGAUUAGGUUGUUGUUGGGGUAACGGCCCAACAAGCCUGUAAUCGGUACGGGUUGUGGGAGCAAGAGCCCGGAGAUGGAUUCUGAGACACGAAUCCAGGCCCUACGGGGCGCAGCAGGCGCGAAAACUUUACAAUGCGAGAAAUCGUGAUAAGGGAACUCCGAGUGCCCGUAAAAUCGGGCUGUUAAUCUGUUUAAAUAACAGGUUAAGAAAGGGCCGGGCAAGACCGGUGCCAGCCGCCGCGGUAAUACCGGCGGCUCGAGUGGUGGCCACUAUUACUGGGCUUAAAGCGUUCGUAGCUGGUCUGUUAAGUCUCUGGGGAAAUCUUCCGGCUCAACCGGAAGGCGUCUCAGGGAUACUGGCAGACUAGGGACCGGGAGAGGUGAGGGGUACUCCAGGGGUAGGAGUGAAAUCCUGUAAUCCUUGGGGGACCACCUGUGGCGAAGGCGCCUCACCAGAACGGCUCCGACAGUGAGGAACGAAAGCUGGGGGAGCAAACCGGAUUAGAUACCCGGGUAGUCCCAGCUGUAAACGAUGCGCGUUAGGUGUAUCGAUGACCACGAGUCAUCGAGGUGCCGAAGAGAAAUCGUGAAACGUGCCGCCUGGGAAGUACGGUCGCAAGGCUGAAACUUAAAGGAAUUGGCGGGGGAGCACCACAACGGGUGGAGCCUGCGGUUUAAUCGGACUCAACGCCGGGAAACUCACCGGACAAGACAGCUGGAUGAUAGUCGGGCUGAAGACUCUACUUGACUAGCUGAGAGGAGGUGCA
rnacentral:rRNA from 1 species